rnacentral:rRNA from 1 species
AUGAACGCUAGCGGCAGGCUUAAUACAUGCAAGUCGAACGGUAACAGGUCCAGCAAUGGAUGCUGACGAGUGGCGUACGGGUGCGUAACACGUGUGCAACUUACCUUUAACAGGAGGAUAGCUCCGAGAAAUUGGAAUUAAUACUCCAUAAUAUUAUGAAACGACAUCGUUUAAUAAUUAAAGCUCCGGUGGUUAAAGAUGGGCACGCGAAACAUUAGCUAGUUGGAGAGGUAACGGCUCACCAAGGCCACGAUGUUUAGGGGUUCUGAGAGGAUUCACCCCCACACUGGUACUGAGACACGGACCAGACUCCUACGGGAGGCAGCAGUAAGGAAUAUUGGUCAAUGGACGCAAGUCUGAACCAGCCAUGCCGCGUGAAGGAUGACAGCCCUAUGGGUUGUAAACUUCUUUUAUACAGGAAAAAACCUUCCGACGUGUCGGGAGCUGAUGGUACUGUAAGAAUAAGGAUCGGCUAACUCCGU